GAUGAACGCUGGCGGCGUGCCUAAUACAUGCAAGUCGAGCGAACAGACGAGGAGCUUGCUCCUCUGACGUUAGCGGCGGACGGGUGAGUAACACGUGGAUAACCUACCUAUAAGACUGGGAUAACUUCGGGAAACCGGAGCUAAUACCGGAUAAUAUAUUGAACCGCAUGGUUCAAUAGUGAAAGACGGUUUUGCUGUCACUUAUAGAUGGAUCCGCGCCGCAUUAGCUAGUUGGUAAGGUAACGGCUUACCGAGGCAACGAUGCGUAGCCGACCUGAGAGGGUGAUCGGCCACACUGGAACUGAGACACGGUCCAGACUCCUACGGAGGCAGCAGUAGGGAAUCUUCCGCAAUGGGCGAAAGCUUGACGGAGCAACGCCGCGUGAGUGAUGAAGGUCUUCGGAUCGUAAAACUCUGUUAUUAGGGAAGAACAAAUGUGUAAGUAACUAUGCACGUCUUGACGGUACCUAAUCAGAAAGCCACGGCUAACUACGUG
rnacentral:rRNA from 1 species